rnacentral:rRNA from 1 species
GAUGAACGCUGGCGGCGUGCCUAAUACAUGCAAGUCGAGCGAACAGACGAGGAGCUUGCUCCUCUGACGUUAGCCGCGGACGGGUGAGUAACACGUGUAUAACCUACUUAUAAGACUGGUAUAACUUCGGGAAACCGGAGCUAAUACCGGAUAAUAUAUUGAAGCGCAUGGUUCAAUAGUGAAAUACGGUUUUGCUGUCACUUAUAGAUGGAUCCGCGCCGCAUUAGCUAGUUGGUAAGGUAACGGCCUACCAAGGCAACGAUGCGUAGCCGACCUGAGAGGCGGAUAGGCGACACUGGAACUGAGACACGGUCCAGACUCCUAAGGGAGGCAGCAGUAGGGAACCUUACGCAGUAGGCGGGAGCCUGACAGAGCAACGCCGCGUGAGUGAUGAAGGUCUUCGGAUCGUAAAACUCGGUUAUGAGGGAAGAACAAAUGUGUAAGGAGCUAUGCACGUAUUGACGGUAACUAAUCAGGAAGCAACGGCUAACUACGUG